GUGCUGGCUUUGGCAGCACAUAUACUAAAAUUGGAACGAAACAGAGAAGAUUAGGACGGCCCCUGUGCAAGGAUGACACGCAAAACCGUGAAGCGUUCUAUUUUUUU